UCAGUAUGGUGGCUUGUCGCUCAUUUCCUUAAUUGAGAAAUGGGAGGAAAGUCCGGGCAACACAGAGCAUCGCAUUUCCUAACGGGAAGCCAGAGGUGACUUUGGGGUUUAAGGUGACAGAAAACAACCGCCAUGAUUCCUGUGAAGAUCAUGGUAAGGGUGAAAAGGUGAGGUAAGAGCUCACCAGGCGCGACGGCGACAUUGCGUGCUGCACCACCUGCGAGUUGCAAGGUCAAGUAUAUCGGCGCAAAGGGGCUGCUCGUCCUGCCGAGGGGUGGACUGCUAUACUGCUGUGGCAACAUUGCAGAGAGAUAAAUGACAGGCGGCCAGUGGUGCCAGAGUGCCAUUGGUUACAUAACCCGGCUUACAGCCAUACUGCUGAU
rnacentral:RNase_P_RNA from 1 species